AAUGAACGCUGGCGGCGUGCCUAACACAUGCAAGUCGGAUGUGCCGCAAGGUGCAUGGCAGACGGGUGAGUAACGCGUAGGGAAUCUACCUUUUUGUGGGGAAUAACGCUCCGAAAGGAGUGGUAAUACCGCAUGAGACCGUGAGCUGGGAUGUUCACGGUGAAACCUGGGGACCGCAAGGCCUGGGGCAAAAAGAGGAUCCUGCGUCUGAUUAGCUAGUUGGCGGGGUAAUGGCCCACCAAGGCGACGAUCAGUAGCCGGCCUGAGAGGGUGAUCGGCCACACUGGAACUGAGACACGGUCCAGACUCCUACGGGAGGCAGCAGUGGGGAAUUUUGCGCAAUGGACGAAAGUCUGACGCAGCAACGCCGCGUGGGUGAUGAAGGUCUUCGGACUGUAAAACCCUGUCGUCAGGGACGAAGGUGGCAGUGUUAAUAGCGCUGUUACUUGACGGUGCCUGGGGAGGAAGCCCCGGCUAACUCUGUG
rnacentral:rRNA from 1 species